CCGACCUUAGCUCAGUUGGUAGAGCGGAGGACUGUAGUUGGAUGCAGAGAAAUCCUUAGGUCGCUGGUUCGAAUCCGGCAGGUCGGA
rnacentral:tRNA from 1 species